rnacentral:rRNA from 1 species
GGCUGUCGUCAGCUCGUGUCGUGAGAUGUUGGGUUAAGUCCCGCAACGAGCGCAACCCCUGUGGUUAGUUGCCAGCAAGUAGCGUUGGGCACUCUAGCCAGACUGCCGGUGAUAAUCGGAGGAAGGUGGGGACGACGUCAAAUCAUCAUGCCCUUUAUGUCCUGGGCUACACACGUACUACAAUGGCCGUUACAACGGGAAGCGAAGGAGCAAUCCGGAGCAAAUCCCUUAAAGGCGGUCCCAGUUCAGAUUGUGGGCUGAAACUCGCCCACAUGAAGGCGGAAUUGCUAGUAAUUGCAGAUCAGCAUGCUGCAGUGAAUACGUUCCCGGGCCUU